GACGAACGCUGGCGGCGUGCCUAAUACAUGCAAGUCGAACGCAGUGGGGACGGGUGAGUAACACGUGGGUAACCUCCCAUCAGAGGGGAUAACACUUGGAAACAGGUGCUAAACCGAUACUGAUGGAUGAACCAGCGGUGCAUUAGCUAGGUGGUGAGGUAAAGGCUCACCAAGGCGACGAUCAGUAGCUGGGCUGUGAGGAUGAUCAGCCACAUUGGGACUGGGAAACGGCCCAAACUCCUACGGGAGGGAGGAGUGGGGAAUCUUGCGAAAUGGGCGAAAGCCUGAAGCAGCCAUGCCGCGUGAAUGAUGAAGGUCUUAGGAUUGUAAAAUUCUUUCACCGGGGACGCGGUACCCGGAGAAGAAGCCCCGGCUAACUUCGUGCCAGCAGCCGCGGUAAUUC
rnacentral:rRNA from 1 species